rnacentral:rRNA from 1 species
UACGAAGGGGGCUAGCGUUGUUCGGAAUUACUGGGCGUAAAGCGCGUGUAGGCGGGUCUUUAAGUCAGGGGUGAAAUGCCAAGGCUCAACCUUGGAACUGCCUUUGAUACUGGAGAUCUUGGGUCCGGGAGAGGUGAGUGGAAUUGCGAGUGUAGAGGUGAAAUUCGUAGAUAUUCGCAAGAACACCAGUGGCGAAGGCGGCUCACUGGCCCGAUACUGACGCUGAGGCACGAAAGCGUGGGGAGCAAACAGG